CUCAGAAUUAUGAAAUUUCUGACUUCACUUCGCACCACACCCUUCUUCGCACCACAAAACUUCCAGCUUUUUCUCAGUCUGGACCAGCUAGAGCAGGAGGAAGCAAGGUCGGCCUCUUUCUCAAGGUGUGAGCUCUGAUUCCUUGAGAAGAUGACGGAAAAAGGAAGUACCAAACUCACGCUCUCUGUGGCAGCGGCUGGUGUGCAAUUAUUACUAUCUGUAUCUGGGGCCGGUGCCCUUGUGCUAUCCGUGGCCCUAGCAAUAGGGAUCGGAAUAGGACUCGGAAUCGGACUCGGAAUCAAUAUCUUCUACUUGAUUAAGGACCUCAAAAACAAGAUCCAAGAAAAGUGUUGACAGGAAUCCUUUCCAAUCUCCUGGCCAGAAGGAGAAGGCUCCACCUUCCUGGGGAACGUGUGAAGCAACAUGCUAUACACAGCUUAUAUUUUGAGUAUGAACAAAGUCAACUUUUGAGCAAAAUAAAAAUUAAUUAAAUACACAUUGAUUGAGUGCA